rnacentral:ncRNA from 1 species
GCGAUUAGUCAGUUUCUGUUCUCUUCGCGGGAAGUUCUGCAAACUUAUCACUUAGAGGAAGGAGAAGUCGUAACAAGGUUUCCGUAGGUGAACCUGCGGAAGGAUCAUUC